rnacentral:lncRNA from 1 species
AAAAUAUAUUAAAAAAAAUGAACAUAAGAAUAUAUAUAUACACAUAUAGUCUCUAUAGAAGAAUAUACAUUUUCCCCCAUCACUAUAGGCAGCAUCACACAUGGCACUCAUUGCUUUCUUAAAAAAGGGAUGGUACAAAAGAACAUUUCUAUUCUUAGCAGCUUGAGAUUUUCCAUCCUUUCCAAGCUCUCUUUUUUCUGUGGGCACAUAAGCAUAUUCAAAAUCAGUAACUUGGAGGUUGCUAUGAUGUUACUAAAGAGAGGAGGCAAGUGAAAAUGGGAGUGGGGAGGGAGUGGAAAGAACUCCACAAACACAAAUAUUACAUUAAAAUUGGGAAAACAAUUUGAUAACUUAAAGUGGAACAGAGAGAAACAACUUUUUAAGAGGCACCUAAAUAAGUUUUCCUAAGGGUAUCAACAGAAGUGCUUGGAACGUCACCACAGAUCCCUAACCAAGUAAUAAAAACAAAACACUAGAGCUGCAAAGAGCUUCGGAAAUCAGACAGUCCUACAUCUUUAUGAAUGAGAAGCCUGAGAUCCAAUGGGGAUGAAAUGUUUUACUCUAAGGGAAGAUACAUGUGGCAGAUAGAACCCAAAGCCCCUAAAACCAAGCCGUUGCCCGAACACCAUUGCACAUACAUUAUAUUAAUGACAUGCUGUCGAGUGGGAGGUUCAAGGAAAGUUGCCUAGAGAGUUCCCAUUCAUUCUUUUCCUCAACAGUUAUUCAGCACCUCCUACAUUCCAGGCACACUGCUGAGGAUGAAGUUGAUCCUGCCAGGGCCAAGAUCCGAGAGUGAAAUGGGCGCUUCCUCCCCACGUCCGAUCAUUUAACGGGUGAAAACAAUCUAGGUUUGACCGGGCUUUCCCACGUCUUGCCCCUAUGCGCUAAGAGAGCUGCAAUUUCCCUGAGAAGACGCGCCAGGUUAACACGCGGCAACCGGGAGGGGUUUUCAGAGAGUAGGGUGUGCGAUACAAACUGAAGACAGUAAAAUGUAAUGAAACUUCUCACUUUAAAAAGGGAUGUUAUUUCCCAAAUGAGAGCUCUGAACUUUUUAAAUGGCCCCAAAAAUACCGGAGCCCAGGCGCCGGGCUCGCGCGAGCCCGAAAGAACACCGCCAAGGCGGACGCUCAGCUCACCUUCCCGCCCGGAGUAUCAGGAGGCCCGGGAUUCUGUGUGUGCGAACACAUCUUCCGGUUCCCGCCGGAAGUUUUUCAAACGCCGGAAGUCCCGCCUGGCUCGCCGUAAAGGCGCCGGGCUCCCAGAGCAGGGUGGAGCCAAGCUGAGCGGAGGCGGGGCUAGAGCAAGGAUUCCCUGGGAGCUGUGGGAUGGGGCCCGCGGGAUGGGGCCCGCGGGAUGGGGCCCGCCCAGGGCUGGGAGCCGAGUUCCACUUACCCGGAUCUGGCGGAGGCAGCUUGGGGGAGGCUCCGGUCAAGAUGGCGGAAAAGAGGGGCGCUCCCGGCCUCCCACAAAUACAUAAAAAAUACAUCUACUUGUAGAACACUUCUCACAGGAUACCUCUUGAACGCUGGCAGAAAAUCUCAAACACCAAAAACCGCAAGAAAGCUCUCCACUUAACCAGGUAGGACAAAAGAAAAAAAAGUAAUUUCAAGCAGCUUGGUACACUGCCAAGCACACUAACUUGUAAACCUGGUUUUCAGAGGAACUCCCUAGUGCACUGGGCAAAUGCUUUAUGAGUUUAUUUCCACAGCCUAGCCCUCCAUCUCACUCCUUACCCGAUACGGUACACCACAAAUGUUAAGGGUGAAUACUCUCUGAAUUAAUUUACUUGAGGCAAAUUCAGGUCCCCUUUAUCUAACCUUCUUGGGCAAGAAUGGGAAAAAAAAAAUUUUUUUGACUGCACCCAUUGCAUGUAGAAGUUCCCAGGUCAGUGGUCAAACCCAGGCCACAGCAGUGACAAUUCUUCCAUACCCAACUUAAAAGCUAGA